CCUACGGGUGGCUGCAGUGAGGAAUAUUGGUCAAUGGGCUUACGCCUGAACCAGCCAAGUCGCGUGAGGGAAGACUGCCCUAUGGGUUGUAAACCUCUUUUGUCAGGGAGCAACGCCGGCUACGUGUAGCCGGACUGAGAGUACCUGAAGAAAAAGCAUCGGCUAACUACGUGCCAGCAGCCGCGGUAAUACGUAGGGGGCAAGCGUUAUCCGGAUUCACUGGGUGUAAAGGGAGCGUAGACGGCGAGACAAGUCUGGAGUGAAAGGCCGGGGCCCAACCCCGGGACUGCUCUGGAAACUGCCUGGCUGGAGUACAGGAGAGGUAAGUGGAAUUCCUAGUGUAGCGGUGAAAUGCGUAGAUAUUAGGAGGAACACCAGUGGCGAAGGCGGCUUACUGGACUGUAACUGACGUUGAGGCUCGAAAGCGUGGGGAGCAAACAGGAUUAGAUACCCCAGUAGUC
rnacentral:rRNA from 1 species